GGGUAGCUGAGUUGGUGAAGCGCUUGUAGCUAUUUGCUCAGUACUGAAUAUCGAUGGUUCGAAUCCAUCCCGAAGCA